UCCUACGGGAGGCAGCAGUGGGGAAUAUUGGACAAUGGGGGGAACCCUGAUCCAGCCAUGCCGCGUGUGUGAAGAAGGCCUUUUGGUUGUAAAGCACUUUAAGCGAGGAGGAGGCUACCGAGAUUAAUACUCUUGGAUAGUGGACGUUACUCGCAGAAUAAGCACCGGCUAACUCUGUGCCAGCAGCCGCGGUAAUACAGAGGGUGCAAGCGUUAAUCGGAUUUACUGGGCGUAAAGCGUGCGUAGGUGGCCAAUUAAGUCAAAUGUGAAAUCCCCGAGCUUAACUUGGGAAUUGCAUUCGAUACUGGUUGGCUAGAGUAUGGGGGAGGAUGGUAGAAUUCCAGGUGUAGCGGUGAAAUGCGUAGAGAUCUGGAGGAAUACCGAUGGCGAAGGCAGCCAUCUGGCCUAAUACUGACACUGAGGUACGAAAGCAUGGGGAGCAAACAGGAUUAGAUACCCUGGUAGUCC
rnacentral:rRNA from 1 species